GGGCCCGCACAAGCGGUGGAGCAUGUGGUUUAAUUCGAUGCAACGCGAAGAACCUUACCAGGGCUUGACAUACUACGAAUCUUUUUGAGAAAAAAGAGUGCCUUCGGGAAUGUAGAUACAGGUGGUGCAUGGCUGUCGUCAGCUCGUGUCGUGAGAUGUUGGGUUAAGUCCCGCAACGAGCGCAACCCUUGUUUUUAGUUACCAACUUGUUGGGUUUUCUAGAAAGACUGCCGGUGACAAAUCGGAGGAAGGUGAGGAUGACGUCAAGUCAGCAUGCCCCUUAUGUCCUGGGCUACACACGUGCUACAAUGGCAGAGACAAAGCGUCGCUAGCUCGCGAGAGUAAGCUAAUCGCAUAAACUCUGCCUAAGUUCAGAUUGUAGGCUGCAACUCGCCUACAUGAAGUUGGAAUCGCUAGUAAUCG
rnacentral:rRNA from 1 species